rnacentral:rRNA from 1 species
UACGUAGGGGGCGAGCGUUGUCCGGAUUUAUUGGGCGUAAAGAGCGUGUAGGCGGCCAGGUAGGUCUGCUGUGAAAACUCGAGGCUCAACCUCGAGACGUCGGCGGAAACCAUCUGGCUAGAGUCCCGAAGAGGAGAGUGGAAUUCCUGGUGUAGCGGUGAAAUGCGCAGAUAUCAGGAAGAACACCGGUGGCGAAGGCGGAUCUCUGGGCCUUGCCUGACGCUGAGGCGCGAAAGCUAGGGGAGCGAACAGG